rnacentral:lncRNA from 1 species
CCCACCAGCCCCUUCCUCUUCACUUUCUGGACUCUGGUAUGGUAAAUUUUUCUUUAUAUCUCACUCCUAUCCAGUAUACAUACACGGCUGGACCUCCCUGACACAUUGUUUCAACUUACGGCUCUGGCUAUAAAGAUGAGGAAACACUCACUCUUCCAAUGCAAUAGGCUUUAGGUAAAGAUGAAAGCAAGAAAAAAACACAACGGGAUUAAGACUCAAUGCUGGUACAGCACGACAAGAGGAGCCAAAUGACAAUGUGUCAUAAGUCAAAUAAUACACACGGAAGUUAAAGCAGGUGGGAGACAGGAAGAAGAGCUGGGGAAUUGUUCCACUUAAUGACAAAAGAGAAGAGACAAAAUUUCAUGAACCGAAGGGGACCAGAGUGUGUCAAGAGAGGGUUUCGAGGGCAAACCCAAAAAAUGAGGAUGCUGUGACGCUUUGCCCUCCUGGACGUCCCUGGGGACGCUGGUUGUCUUGAUGAGCUGCUAAAAGAGGCAUCUCCCGCAAUAUAGACACUAUUACAGGAAGCCUUGGAAGAUCAAACCAACUUUGACAAAAAGCCUCAAGUUGUAAGGUUGAAUAUGCAGAAUAAACUGAAGGUGCAGAUUGCCCUGGAGGAAAAUAAAUGACUACAUUUUCUCCACUCACUAAUUCAUUUAAUAAACACAAUUACCAAGACAGCAGUUUGAAGCUAUGAGUACUAAAAGGAACUGCUUUGAGAGCACAUACGGGAGACAUCUUAACUCCUUAAAUGAGACUCAAAAGCGUCUUAUCUAGAAUUACACAUAUAGACCAUACCUUUAAAUAAAAGAAUAUGAAUA